CGAAAGGGUGACGAAGCGACGCCGCGUGUGGGAAGAAGGCCUUCGGGUUGUAAACCACUGUUGGGGGUUAGGAAGUGUGGAGGUGUUAAUAGCGCUUUCACUUGACUAAAGCUCCAGAGGAAGCCACGGCUAACUCUGUGCCAGCAGCCGCGGUAAUACAGAGGCGGCAAGCGUUGUUCGGAAUUAUUGGGCGUAAAGAGCACGUAGGCGGCUCUGCAAGUCAGCUGUGAAAGCCUUCUGCUUAACGGAAGAACGGCAGUUGAAACUACAGGGCUUGAGUGCGGGAGGGGAGAGUGGAACUUCUGGUGGAGCGGUGAAAUGCGUAGAUAUCAGAAGGAACGCCGGCGGCGAAAGCGGCUCUCUGGUCCGUAACUGACGCUGAGUGUGCGAAAGCUAGGGGAGCAAACGGGAUUAGAUACCCCGGUAGUCCUAGCCGU
rnacentral:rRNA from 1 species